GAUGAACGCUCGCUACAGGCUUAACACAUGCAAGUCGCGGGGCAGCAUGGGGGUUGCUUGCAAUCCCCGAUGGCGACCGGCGCACGGGUGAGUAACGCGUAUCCAACCUGCCCUUCACCACGGGAUAACCCGGCGAAAGUCGGACUAAUACCGUAUGUUGUCCAUUGACGGCAUCCGAUUCGGACGAAAGGCUUGGCGGUGAGGGAUGGGGAUGCGUCCGAUUAGCCAGACGGCGGGGUAACGGCCCACCGUGGCUACGAUCGGUAGGGGUUCUGAGAGGAAGGUCCCCCACACUGGAACUGAGACACGGUCCAGACUCCUACGGGAGGCAGCAGUGAGGAAUAUUGGUCAAUGGGCGUAAGCCUGAACCAGCCAAGUAGCGUGCAGGAUGACGGCCCUAUGGGUUGUAAACUGCUUUUAUGCGGGGAUAAAGUGGCCCACGUGGGGCUUUUGCAGGUACCGCAUGAAUAAGGACCGGCUAAGUCCGUG
rnacentral:rRNA from 1 species